rnacentral:rRNA from 1 species
CCUACGGGUGGCAGCAGUAGGGAAUAUUCCACAAUGAGCGAAAGCUUGAUGGAGCAACGCCGCGUGCGCGAAGAAGGUCUUCGGAUCGUAAAGUCCUGUUAUUAGGGAAGAAAGUGUGCAAGAGGAACUGAUUACAGUCCGACGGUACCUAAUCAGAAAGCGACGGCUAACUACGUGCCAGCAGCCGCGGUAAUACGUAGGUCGCAAGCGUUAUCCGGGUUUAUUGGGCGUAAAGCGAACGCAGGCGGUUUUGUAAGUCUGAUGGGAAAUCCCUGGGCUUAACCCGAGUAUGGCAUUGGAUACUAGCAAACGAGAGUGCAGAAGAGGAAAGCGGAAUUCCAUGUGUAGCGGUGAAAUGCGUAGAUAUAUGGAAGAACACCAGUGGCGAAGGCGGCUUUCUGGGCUGAAACUGACGCUGAGGUACGAAAGCAUGGGGAGCAAACAGGAUUAGAUACCCCUGUAGUC